rnacentral:rRNA from 1 species
UACGGAGGAUGCAAGCGUUAUCCGGAUUCAUUGGGUUUAAAGGGUGCGUAGGCGGGCUAUUAAGUCAGUGGUGAAAUCCUGCAGCUUAACUGCAGAACUGCCGUUGAUACUGAUAGUCUUGAGUUUGGUUAAGGUAGGCGGAAUGUGUAAUGUAGCGGUGAAAUGCUUAGAUAUUACACAGAACACCAAUUGCGUAGGCAGCUUACUGAGCCGACACUGACGCUGAGGCACGAAAGCGUGGGGAUCAAACAGGA